AUUGAACGCUGGCGGCAGGCCUAACACAUGCAAGUCGAGCGGGGUUUUCGGACCUAGCGGCGGACGGGUGAGUAAUGCGUAGGAAGCUACCCGAUAGAGGGGGAUACCAGUUGGAAACGACUGUUAAUACCGCAUAAUGUCUACGGACCAAAGUGUGGGACCUUCGGGCCACAUGCUAUCGGAUGCGCCUACGUGGGAUUAGCUAGUUGGUGAGGUAAUGGCUCACCAAGGCGACGAUCCCUAGCUGGUUUGAGAGGAUGAUCAGCCACACUGGAACUGAGACACGGUCCAGACUCCUACGGGAGGCAGCAGUGGGGAAUAUUGGACAAUGGGCGCAAGCCUGAUCCAGCCAUGCCGCGUGUGUGAAGAAGGCCUUCGGGUUGUAAAGCACUUUCAGUAGGGAGGAAGCGUUGUGUGUUAAUAGUACACAGCGUUGACGUUACCUACAGAAGAAGCACCGGCUAACGCGGGGCCAGCCGCCGCGGUAAGAC
rnacentral:rRNA from 1 species